rnacentral:lncRNA from 1 species
AAUUACUUUUGUUCACAUAUCUGCUCAUGAUUUCAUCAGUUAUAUUGGACUGGUCAAAAAGUUCAUUUGGGUUCUCAUAGUAUCUUAUGGGAGAAGCACGGCGGCUGCGACAGACCACACAGAAGGUCGGGGUGGCGACCGGAAGCGCCAGGCUGAGACUCUGCAGGAGCGGCCAAAAGGAGCUAUCCCAAGUCCGAGGUCAGGGGCAGCAGCUGAAAGGAGCUACCCCACAUCUGAGGUCAGAAGCAGCGGCCAAGAGGAGCAACCCCAUGUCCAAGGAACAGCAGCUGCGUGGGCAUAGAAGAGCUGAGAGGAGCUACUCCACUUUCAAGGUCAGGAGAGGCAACUCAUACAAGCCAUUUCCGACUGUUUGUGACCCCAUGGACUGUCACCUGCCAAGCUCCUCUGUACAUGGAAUUUUCUAGACAAGACUACUGGAUCGGGUUGCCAUUCCCUUCUUUGGGGGUCUUCUUGACCCAGGGAUUGAACACAGGUCUCCUGCAUUGCAGACAAAUGCUUUACUUCUCAGACACCAAGGAAGCCUCACUUCAACUUGCAGCCCCUAGAUAAUAAAGUCUCUCAAUCUAGGAGUCUAGUCACAUGGGAAGGACAAAAAAAAGGGAGGUAGAGGGGACUCUUGAUUGAAUACCUCUAUAAGUUUAUGUUAUAUUUUCAUUUCCUUGAGAGUCUUUUAAAAUUACGCACUAAAAGCACAUAUAAAGGGAAAUUGG